UACGUAGGGUGCGAGCGUUGUCCGGAAUUACUGGGCGUAAAGAGCUCGUAGGUGGUUUGUCGCGUUGUUCGUGAAAUCUCACGGCUUAACUGUGAGCGUGCGGGCGAUACGGGCAGACUAGAGUACUGCAGGGGAGACUGGAAUUCCUGGUGUAGCGGUGAAAUGCGCAGAUAUCAGGAGGAACACCGGUGGCGAAGGCGGGUCUCUGGGCCGAUAUUGACGCUGAGGAGCGAAAGCGUGGGGAGCAAACAGG
rnacentral:rRNA from 1 species